GACGAGGGAUCCUAGCGUUGCUCGGAAUUAUUGGGCGUAAAGGGUAGGUAGGUGGUCUCAUUUGUCUGGGGUGAAAGCCUUGAGCUUAACUCAAGAAGUGCCCCGGAAACGGUGAGACUAGAGUCUUGGAGAGGGUCGUGGAAUUCCCGGUGUAGCGGUGAAAUGCGUAGAGAUCGGGAGGAACACCAGAGGCGAAGGCGGCGACCUGGACAAGUACUGACACUCAACUACGAAAGCGUGGGGAGCAAACAGG
rnacentral:rRNA from 1 species